ensembl:lncRNA
AUGUCUUUCCACUCGUGCGUUUCUGGAUGUGGUCACUUCCUGGCUCCAUCUGAUGGUCACGAUCGUUGCAUCUCGUGCCUGGGCCUCGAGCACGCUGAGGCAGCGUUCGUGGAUGAGUCAUGUUCUCUUUGCGGAAACAUGACCAUCGCGAUGUUGCGAUCGAGGCUCCUCUUCGUCAAACGGGGAGGAGUCCCACUCCCCAUGCCCCAUUCUAGUUCUUCCUUCAAAAGGAGGGCUACUGCGGUUCAUGGCCAGGGCGAUCUGAGGGUCACAGUGAGGGCUUCCCCGCCGAGCGAGUCUCCACGGGCCCCUCACUCCUCCAGCGCAUCAUACCCUCUGGUGUACCGUGAUGCAGAUGCUGAGGCAGCAGCCAUGGCGGGGCCCAGCACUUCAUCCGGCCCAACAGCAGAGGACCUGAUGUCAAUCACUGCAUCGGGGGACGAGCUAGGCUCCGGAGAUGAAGAUUCAGCUGCAGUGCCUCCUUCUGGGAGAGCGGCGUUGCCCGAGUCAGAUCCAGAGCUGACUGCUAUGCUUGCCCGGGCCUUCUCAUGCGCCCCCUGCCCAAUCACAGAGCCAGGUAAGAGUCGCACCACUCACUCAGACCCCACUCCAGGACGCUGUGCCUUCCGGGUUGGGUCCCUGUUCUCCGCCUCGCUGCCCCACCAUGGGUACGUCGGUGGUUCCCCUAGUUCCGCUUGUUCGGUCUCUGGGGGCCUGGCUAGCGCUCCCCAGGCCGUCUCGCUGGCUUACGAGAACCAUCAGACUCGGCUCUGCGAUUCAGUUCGCCCGGCGUCCGCCCAAGUUCAAGGGCAUCCGGUUCACCUCUGUGCCGGACAAAGAUGCUCCCGUCUUGCUAGUGGAAAUCGCAGUCCUGCUGGCGAAGGACGCGAUAGAGCCGGUCCCUCCAGCGGAUAUGAAGUCGGGUUUUACAGCCCAUACUUCAUUGUACCCAAGAAAGGCGGUGGGUUACGGCCAAUCUUGGACCUGCGCGUUCUGAACCGGGCCCUUCACAAGCUCCCAUUCAGGAUGUUAAUGCAGAAACAUAUCUUUCAAUGCGUUCAUCCACAAGAUUGGUUUACAGCAAUCGACCUGAUGGACGCGUACUUUCAUGUCUCGAUUCUCCCCCGACACAGGCCAUUUAUCCGCUUUGCAUUCGAGGGGCAGGCAUAUCAGUACAAGGUCCUCCCCUUCGGGCUAUCCCUGUCGCCUUGUGUCUUCACCAAGUCGUGGAGGCAGCUCUCAUUCCCUUGA